GAUGAACGCUAGCGGCAGGCUUAAUACAUGCAAGUCGAGGGGUAGCAAGAUUGUAGCAAUACAAUUGUUGACGACCGGCAAACGGGUGCGGAACACGUACACAACCUUCCUUCAAGUGGGGAAUAGCCCAGAGAAAUUUGGAUUAAUACCCCGUAACAUAGCGAUGUGGCAUCACAUUGCUAUUAUAGCUUCGGCGCUUGUUGAUGGGUGUGCGGCUGAUUAGAUAGUUGGCGGGGUAACGGGCCACCAAGUCUACGAUCAGUAGCUGAUGUGAGAGCAUGAUCAGCCACACGGGCACUGGGACACGGGCCCGACUCCUACGGGAGGCAGCAGUAAGGAAUAUUGGACAAUGGACGCAAGUCUGGACCAGCCAUGCCGCGUGCAGGAAGACGGUCCUCUGGAUUGUAAACUGCUUUUGUUAGGGAAGAAACCCUCUGAUGCGUCAGAGGCUGACGGUACCUAAAGAAUAAGGAUCGGCUAACUCCGUGCCAGCCGCCGCAGUAAAAC
rnacentral:rRNA from 1 species